GUUGAAGAAACCCGACUUGGCUGAAAAAUAACAAGCUAUAUCAAAAUGCUUUGCGGCUUGAACUAUCGUUGUAGAACUUUCAAAAUCUCGAUAGUAACGCAAAGAGUGUUGAACAAGCUUUUAAACAAAACAAACACUGUUGAAAGUUCAUCACAGUGCAUUCAGACCUCAAAUCAAGUAGGACUACCCGCUGAACUUAA
rnacentral:misc_RNA from 1 species